CCUCCCCAUGUUCUAGACCUAACGAAAAUCAGAGAAAAACCGAAAACAAUCAGAAGCUCCCUUCUCUAAAAAAACAGACCAACGGCGCAACCCAACUCCCUUUUCUUUUCUUAUUCUUCAUUUCCUCAUCUUCAACAAAGAGCCAGAAACAGACCCUCCCUCUUUAGCAAGAAAAAGCCAACGCCUUCCCCUCCCCAUCUUUAUCAUCCUCUUUCCAUCAAAUUAAAAAGAAACACACACAAGAUAAAUGGUCAAAUUCAAAAGAAAAAUGAACGAAAAAAUAGAAAAAUAAAGGGUUUGAACACUGUUCGAAUUUCUUCUCUUUUGCUUCAAUUUUUCUGGAAUUUCGAGUGCCAUUUGGUUUGAAGAAGCUUUGUUUGGUCACUGGAUCUGUCGCUGAUGUUUUGCUGAGUCCGUAGGCUAUUUGCUUCAGCUUAGCUCCAUCUUUCACGGAUUUGCCUUUAGUUGGUCAUUUGGAUUCCAUUUGCGAACAUUAGUAGGUGUCCUAACUGUUCCUCGUUACUACCCCACCGAGGCUAGUCUUGAUACUUACUGGGCACCGCUGUGGUGUUCUCAUACUACACUUCUGUACAUUUUUAUGUAUAGAUCCAGGUGGAUUGAUAGUAGUUGUGUGGGUCGUCGCGGUGGAGACUCAAGGUAAACCUACUACAGCGUUCGCAGAUCUCGGAGUCACCUUCAUUUGUAUUUACUUCCAUUUGCUCCUUUGUUUCGAGGCAGUGAUGUAUUAUUUUGUGAAAUUACUCUUAGAUAGGCUUGUGACUUGUAACACCGGUUUUGGGAAUUGUAAAUUGUUAAGAGUUAUUGAAUUUAAAGUUGGCAAAUAUCAA